AAGACUGUACUUUCAGGGAUCCUGUCUACAGGUCCUUCCUAGAGAAGGUUCUCUGGCUGCACAGAGAACGGGAAACCACGCGGAGGAGUCGCAGCGUUCCCUCCUGGGCGUGACGCUGGCCCUGGCUGUUUGCGCCACUGCCCAGAGCCGGGGGUGACUGUUCUCCUCUUCCCCGGGAGAGCUAGAGGGCGAGAAUGCAGUCUGAGUGGC
ensembl:snoRNA U3 Small nucleolar RNA U3